rnacentral:rRNA from 1 species
UACGAAGGGGGCUAGCGUUGUUCGGAAUUACUGGGCGUAAAGCGUACGUAGGCGGAUUGUUAAGUGAGGGGUGAAAUCCCGAGGCUCAACCUCGGAACUGCCUUUCAUACUGGCAAUCUUGAGUCCGGGAGAGGUGAGUGGAACUCCUAGUGUAGAGGUGAAAUUCGUAGAUAUUAGGAAGAACACCAGUGGCGAAGGCGGCUCGCUGGACCUGACCUGACGCUGAGGCGCGAAGGCGUGGGGAGCGAACGGG